rnacentral:rRNA from 1 species
UCAGGAUGAACGCUAGCGACAGGCUUAACACAUGCAAGUCGAGGGGCAGCAUAAAAGUAGCAAUACUUGGUGGCGACCGGCGCACGGGUGAGUAACGCGUAUGCAACCUACCUAUCAGAGGGGAAUAACCCGGCGAAAGUCGGACUAAUACCGCAUAAAACAGGGACACCGCAUGGUGAUAUUUGUUAAAGAAAUUCGCUGAUAGAUGGGCAUGCGUUCCAUUAGGUAGUUGGUGAGGUAACGGCUCACCAAGCCGACGAUGGAUAGGGGAACUGAGAGGUUGGUCCCCCACACUGGUACUGAGACACGGACCAGACUCCUACGGGAGGCAGCAGUGAGGAAUAUUGGUCAAUGGGCGAGAGCCUGAACCAGCCAAGUCGCGUGAAGGAAGAAGGAUCUAUGGUUCGUAAACUUCUUUUGCAGGGGAAUAAAGUGCAGGACGUGUCCUGUUUUGUAUGUACCCUGAGAAUAAGGAUCGGCUAACUCCGUGCCAGCCGCCGC